AUUGAACGCUGGCGGAAUGCUUUACACAUGCAAGUCGAGCGGCAGCGCGGGGGCAACCCUGGCGGCGAGCGGCGAACGGGUGAGUAACAUAUCGGAACGUACCCCGUCGUGGGGGAUAACACAGCGAAAGCUGUGCUAAUACCGCAUACGACCUGAGGGUGAAAGCGGGGGAUCGCAAGACCUCGCGCGAUGGGAGCGGCCGAUAUCGGAUUAGCUUGUUGGUGAGGUAAAGGCUCACCAAGGCGACGACUCCGUAGCGUGGUCUGAGAGGACGACC
rnacentral:rRNA from 1 species